ACGCUAGCUACAGGCUUAACACAUGCAAGUCGAGGGGCAGCGGGAUUGAAGCUUGCUUCAAUUGCCGGCGACCGGCGCACGGGUGAGUAACGCGUAUCCAACCUUCCGUACACUCAGGGAUAGCCUUUCGAAAGAAAGAUUAAUACCUGAUGGUAUGAUGAGAUUGCAUGAUAGCAUCAUUAAAGAUUUAUCGGUGUACGAUGGGGAUGCGUUCCAUUAGGUAGUAGGCGGGGUAACGGCCCACCUAGCCAACGAUGGAUAGGGGUUCUGAGAGGAAGGUCCCCCACAUUGGAACUGAGACACGGUCCAAACUCCUACGGGAGGCAGCAGUGAGGAAUAUUGGUCAAUGGACGAGAGUCUGAACCAGCCAAGUAGCGUGAAGGAUGAAGGUCCUACGGAUUGUAAACUUCUUUUAUAAGGGAAUAAACCCUCCCACGUGUGGGAGCUUGUAUGUACCUUAUGAAUAAGCAUUGGCUAACUCCGUGCCAGCAGCCGCGGUAAUACGGAGGAUGCGAGCGUUAUCCGGAUUUAUUGGGUUUAAAGGGAGCGCAGACGGGUCGUUAAGUCAGCUGUGAAAGUUUGGGGCUCAACCUUAAAAUUGCAGUUGAUACUGGCGUCCUUGAGUGCGGUUGAGGUGUGCGGAAUUCGUGGUGUAGCGGUGAAAUGCUUAGAUAUCACGAAGAACUCCGAUUGCGAAGGCAGCACACUAAUCCGUAACUGACGUUCAUGCUCGAAAGUGUGGGUAUCAAACAGGAUUAGAUACCCUGGUAGUCCACACGGUAAACGAUGGAUACUCGCUGUUGGCGAUAUACUGUCAGCGGCUUAGCGAAAGCGUUAAGUAUCCCACCUGGGGAGUACGCCGGCAACGGUGAAACUCAA
rnacentral:rRNA from 1 species